AUGGCCUUUGCUCUGCGCCUCCUCCUCCUGCUCCUCCUGGCAGUGGCCCUGCCUGACAGGGCUGCCCAGGCUGCUCCGCAGCGAGCACAGGGAGCAGAUUGGAAUCACAACUUGCAUUAUCCAGAGGCCCUGCUGGAUGACGGCUUGAAACACUUGAGAAAUGCUGGAGGUAAGUUCUCAAUGGUCCUUUCCUGGCAGAAUAAGCAGUUUCAAUGUCCUGGCACCACUGCAGGUGUCAGAACAGAGACAUACACGUGUGUGCCCUCGCCCAUCGCGUUCCCCUCACCUCUCCCAUGGCUCAGUGCUGCCUGUGCAGA
rnacentral:lncRNA from 1 species